AGCGGCGGACGGGUGAGUAACACGUGGGUAACCUACCUAUAAGACUGGAAUAACUUCGGGAAACCGGAGCUAAUGCCGGAUAACAUAUAGAACCGCAUGGUUCUAUAGUGAAAGAUGGUUUUGCUAUCACUUAUAGAUGGACCCGCGCCGUAUUAGCUAGUUGGUAAGGUAAUGGCUUACCAAGGCGACGAUACGUAGCCGACCUGAGAGGGUGAUCGGCCACACUGGAACUGAGACACGGUCCAGACUCC
rnacentral:rRNA from 1 species